UGUCUUGAAGGGCAGGAUCUUGAUGGUGUGCCUCCACCUUCCCUAGUGAAGCUCCCCUACCUUCAGAAAAUUGAUCUCUCUCGAAACUACCUUACUGGUACAAUACCAAGCCAAUGGGCUUCUCUAAAGUUGACAUAUCUGUCCUUUAAUGUAAACAAGUUAUCAGGACCAAUCCCAAGCUUCCUAGGAAACAUUAC